UACGGAGGGUGCAAGCGUUAUCCGGAUUCACUGGGUUUAAAGGGUGCGUAGGUGGGCAAGUAAGUCAGUGGUGAAAUCUCCGGGCUUAACCCGGAAACUGCCAUUGAUACUAUUUGUCUUGAAUACUGUGGAGGUCAGCGGAAUAUGUCAUGUAGCGGUGAAAUGCUUAGAUAUGACAUAGAACACCAAUUGCGAAGGCAGCUGGCUACACAAAUAUUGACACUGAGGCACGAAAGCGUGGGGAGCAAACCGG
rnacentral:rRNA from 1 species